rnacentral:rRNA from 1 species
UACGUAGGAUCCAAGCGUUGUCCGGAAUUACUGGGUGUAAAGGGUGCGCAGGCGGACUUGUGCGUCAGCGGUUAAAUACCCCGGCUCAACCGGGGAAAUGCCUUUGAAACGGCAGGUCUUGAGUGCGAGAGAGGAUGGUAGAAUUCCUGGUGUAGCGGUGAAAUGCGUAGAUAUCAGGAGGAAUACCAGUGGCGAAGGCGGCCAUCUGGCUCGCAACUGACGCUCAGGCACGAAAGCGUGGGGAGCAAACAGG